AUUUCUUAUUUUGAUUGAUAACUGCCCAUAAUUUCCUCCUUAGCUUCCGCAUGGAAGGCGGCAGUGCCCCUGUUCAUGAGUAGAUCACAAAGCGGAAGCAGCAUCAAAGCAUUUAAAACUUAGUCCAAGAAGAAAAACAAUUAAGCAGAGAAUUCAAAUCGAAAGCACCUGGAUCAAUCUGGUCCGUAUCAUAUCCGAAUUCUGCCUGCUCCUUCUCCCAAAGCAAUCGAUUGAUAGAACGGAGUCGAAAAUUUAGAUAGAAACAAGAGAUUUCUUGUCCGCAAGAAACCGGAACAGAAUGCUAGUGGAAAAUUUCUAGGGUUUCGUUUGGAGAACUAUCAAAGUUUUCUAGUUCGAACUGGCUUUCUGUCCAUUCUUUCUCGCGUUUGUCGAGGAUGGAACUCUGGAACUUGGGAGGCGGAGGGCCUUUUUCGGAAUGGAAAUGGCGGUCGGUUCACCAAGAGGAGGCGACGUCGCGUGUGAUGAUCCUAAUAAUACUAUACCAGUCGAAGACUCGCGCCGC
rnacentral:lncRNA from 1 species